rnacentral:rRNA from 1 species
UACGAAGGUCCCGAGCGUUAUCCGGAUUUAUUGGGUUUAAAGGGUGCGUAGGCGGAUUAUUAAGUCAGUGGUGAAAGCCUACAGCUUAACUGUAGAAUUGCCAUUGAUACUGAUGAUCUUGAGUAUGAUUGAGGUGGGCGGAAUGUGUCAUGUAGCGGUGAAAUGCUUAGAUAUGCCAUAGAACACCGAUUGCGUAGGCAGCUCACUAAGCCUGGAUUGACGCUGAGGGACGAAAGCGUGGGUAGCGAACAGG